CUGUUUCAGGGUACCGACACCGCCAUUCUUCCUCCUCCCAUCUAUUUGUGUCGUCUCCUGGUUUCGUUUGCCUAGGGUUUGUUCUACUCCUCCCCGUAUUCCCCAUCGCUGCUCCCCUUUCUUGCCCCUCUUUGGAGCUUUGGUCUCUGCUGCUAGCCGUCGCCUUCCUCACUUGAGCACUAGAUCUGUGCGAUUUGGCUGGUUGUUCGCCUACAGUUCUUCUUCAUUCGAUUUGGCUGGUCACUGGUUGGGUUUGAUUAUGCCUUUUGUCUCCUCCCCAUUUUCCAUCUUGUUUCUUUUUAGCAUGGCAAACACCGCUGAGAGGUCGGCCUUGAAAUCUGCCUUUGCUGUUGAUGAGACACGUAAAGCCUUAGUUGUUGCGGCAAUGAAUACACAAGGAGACGGCGCAAAUGGACGGGAGGAGGAAGAACAGAGGCAGGGACAGGAAGGGAAGAGCAUAGAUCCUAACGGAGAUCAGGCGGUGCCAAAACCAAAUCUUUAAUGUGCACUGGAUUAUGAUGCUAAUAUUGUAAUUGACGUGUUCGAGGUAGGGGUGACAAUUUAACCCCCGAAACCCGACUGGAUGCAGGUAUUAGUGAAAUUUUGAUCCACGGAUGCAACCUACACCUGGUCGAAGUUUCGCGGGUGUGGUUGAUGAUUUCUAUUUAAACCCGCGGGUGACCCGCACCCGACUUAAAAUUUGGUGUAUUCAUUAUUUUGCGCAAUAAUUAAGAUACAAUAGUAAUUAUUUUUAAUAA
rnacentral:misc_RNA from 1 species